GGCCCUAUAGCUCAGCGGUAGAGCGAUCCCCUCAUAAGGGAUUGGUCGGUGGUUCGAAUCUCACCUAGGGUCACCA
rnacentral:tRNA from 1 species